rnacentral:rRNA from 1 species
GACGAACGCUGGCGGCGUGCUUAACACAUGCAAGUCGAACGCUGAAGCUCAGCUUUUGUUGGGUGGAUGAGUGGCGAACGGGUGAGUAACACGUGAGCAACCUGCCUCCUUCUUUGGGAUAACGCCCGGAAACGGGUGCUAAUACUGGAUAUUCACUGGUCUUCGCAUGGGGGUUGGUGGAAAGGGUUUUUCUGGUGGGGGAUGGGCUCGCGGCCUAUCAGCUUGUUGGUGGGGUGAUGGCCUACCAAGGCUUUGACGGGUAGCCGGCCUGAGAGGGUGACCGGUCACAUUGGGACUGAGAUACGGCCCAGACUCCUACGGGAGGCAGCAGUGGGGAAUAUUGCACAAUGGGCGCAAGCCUGAUGCAGCGACGCCGCGUGAGGGAUGGAGGCCUUCGGGUUGUGAACCUCUUUCGCUCAUGGUCAAGCCGCAACAAUGGUUGUGGUGAGGGUAGUGGGUAAAGAAGCGCCGGCUAACUACGUG